rnacentral:rRNA from 1 species
UACGUAGGGUGCAAGCGUUAAUCGGAAUUACUGGGCGUAAAGCGUGCGCAGGCGGUUUUGUAAGUUUGAUGUGAAAUCCCCGGGCUCAACCUGGGAAUUGCAUUGGAGACUGCAAGGCUAGAAUCUGGCAGAGGGGGGUAGAAUUCCACGUGUAGCAGUGAAAUGCGUAGAGAUGUGGAGGAACACCGAUGGCGAAGGCAGCCCCCUGGGUCAAGAUUGACGCUCAUGCACGAAAGCGUGGGGAGCAAACAGG